GAUGAACGCUAGCGGGAGGCCUAACACAUGCAAGUCGAACGGGAUUGAGAGCUUGCUCUCAUGAGAGUGGCGCACGGGUGAGUAACGCGUAUGCAACCUGCCUUUAACAGAGGGAUAGCCCAUAGAAAUGUGGAUUAAUACCUCAUAGUUCUGAGAGAUCGCAUGAUUUUUCAGAUAAAGCUCCGGCGGCUAAAGAUGGGCAUGCGUGACAUUAGCUUGUUGGUGAGGUAACGGCUCACCAAGGCGACGAUGUCUAGGGGUUCUGAGAGGAUGAUCCCCCACACUGGUACUGAGACACGGACCAGACUCCUACGGGAGGCAGCAGUGAGGAAUAUUGGUCAAUGGGCGCAAGCCUGAACCAGCCAUCCCGCGUGCAGGAUGACGGCCCUAUGGGUUGUAAACUGCUUUUAUACACCAAGAAGAAUCCGAACGUGUUCGGACCCGACGGUAGUGUAUGAAUAAGCAUCGGCUAACUCCGUGCCAGCAGCCGCCGUAACAC
rnacentral:rRNA from 1 species